AGUGAACGCUGGCGGUAGGCCUAACACAUGCAAGUCGAACGGCAGCACAGUAAGAGCUUGCUCUUACGGGUGGCGAGUGGCGGACGGGUGAGGAAUACAUCGGAAUCUACUUUUUCGUGGGGGAUAACGUAGGGAAACUUACGCUAAUACCGCAUACGACCUACGGGUGAAAGCAGGGGAUCUUCGGACCUUGCGCGAUUGAAUGAGCCGAUGUCGGAUUAGCUAGUUGGCGGGGUAAAGGCCCACCAAGGCGACGAUCCGUAGCUGGUCUGAGAGGAUGAUCAGCCAAACUGGAACUGAACCACGGUCCAGACUCCUACGGGAGGCAGCAGUGGGGAAUAUUGGACAAUGGGCGCAAGCCUGAUCCAGCCAUACCGCGUGGGUGAAGAAGGCCUUCGGGUUGUAAAGCCCUUUUGUUGGGAAAGAAAAGCAGCAGGUUAAUACCCCGCUGUUCUGACGGUACCCAAAGAAUAAGCACCGGCUAACUUCGCG
rnacentral:rRNA from 1 species